ACAAACUUGGUCAUUUAGAGGAAGUAAAAGUCGUAACAAGGUUUCCGUAGGUAAGUAGAAAACUUUCUAUCUUACACCCCCCUUUGUUCUAAUAUACUAACUUUUCUCUUUUAGGUGAACCUGCGGAAGGAUCAUUAUUGAGUGUUAACCCCCCUAUAAAAAAGGGAGGUACCUCCUGUCCUUUGCAGGCCCUUUUUAGGGGCUUUUUUGACUUUCUGCUUCGGUGGGGUUAUCCUGCCGGAACAACUUCAAAACUCUGAUAUAAAAAACUGUUCUGUCCGAGUGUCUUUUAUAAUAUAAAAAAAAACUUUCAACAACGGAUCUCUUGGUUCUGGCAUCGAUGAAAAACGCAGC
rnacentral:misc_RNA from 1 species